GCACAAGCGGUGGAGUAUGUGGUUUAAUUCGAUGCAACGCGAAGAACCUUACCUGGUCUUGACAUCCCGGAGACCCUUAGGAAACUAGGGGGUGCUUCCAUCUGGAAGAAUCUGGAGACAGGUGCUGCAUGGCUGUCGUCAGCUCGUGUCGUGAGAUGUUGGGUUUAAGUCCCGCAACGAGCGCAACCCUUGCCUUUAGUUGCCAGCAGUUCGGCUGGGCACUCUAAAGGGACUGCCGGUGUUAAACCGGAGGAAGGUGGGGAUGACGUCAAGUCCUCAUGGCCUUUAUGACCAGGGCUACACACGUACUACAAUGGCCGAUACAAAGGGCAGCGACACUGCGAGGUGAAGCCAAUCCCGUAAAAUCGGUCUCAGUCCGGAUUGGAGUCUGCAACUCGACUCCAUGAAGUUGGAAUCGCUAGUAAUCGUGGAUCAGCAUGCCACGGUGAAUACGUUCCCGGGCCUU
rnacentral:rRNA from 1 species